AACAAUUUAAACAGCAAACACUGGUAAACACAGCACGUCUGUGGCUACAAGGGGGGAAAUCCAGUGGAUAUCCGGCUAGAGGACAUGGUGUUUUGGGGCAGACACUCAACAGGAAGGCUCUCCAGCCAAGCAUGAGGACCCAUGGCUGGAAGCACACCCAGCACUGACUCCCGUCAGGGCAAGCUGAUGAUAUCUGUAUCUAAGCCAAGCCAAUCCAGUCCUGAGGAACCCAAGCAUGCCUCAGUAGAAUGUGCCAGAUGCCCUCUGAAACAGAAAGUGGUCUGCAAGAACUGUGGAAAUAAAACACUGUGAUACGGUGAAGAGAGAAAAAAAGUAAAACACGGAGGCACUAGGAAUCACUGAAACUCACUUUGCCAUGUUAAAGAGAGAAAAUAAAAGGAAGGAAGGAAGGAGGAAUCAGCAUUUGCAAGAAGACAGCUCUGCACACGCUGCUGGUUCCCACGAGCAAUGUCAACGCACCGUAGCAACCUACAAAAGUGCUGAUCCGAGGGCAGGGCCAGGAGAUUCAAUUAACCUGUAUCCAGAGCAGCAAUGCUGCAGUGCAAACGCAGGUGCAGCCUGAGCGUUUGGAACCCCCAUUCACUAAAGGAUGAUGUCCCAGAGAUGCUGUUGGUCAAAUCUUGACUUCAGUACAACUGCUAGUUUGUUCUGCCCAACUUUCUAUGAGGCUGAUCUAACUCCCAUCUGAGCUUUGGUUUGAGAAGUUCAUAGGAAAUUCAGUUGGGGUGAUAACAUGCUCAUAUCAACACUGUAAAACUGUUUAUUUGGGGGAAAAAAACAAAAUUUCUAGAAGAACAAAGUCACAUCAGCACCUGCCAGAAUAACUCCCGCCCCCCUGCUCCCAAUCCAGAGGACUCCCAUUUAGGGCCGUGGCCUAAUUUGCAAGAUGCUAAACACAAAGCAAGUUUUUAACCAUGCGUUAAUCCCCGAGAGAUCACACUUCGAGGCCACAGCGUUUCCGCCACCUGGAAGUUCAGGCUCCCAGCCUCUUCCAGAUCCUUGAGCUUCAGGAAGAGAAGAGAAGGAGGAAAUGCCCACUAGACCCAAGUCUGGGGCAAGGCAAUAUGCUUUCCUGUUUCUGUUCCCCGGGGACGAUCAUCUUUGCAAAGGAAUAAUGUUGCAUCUGGAAGGAAAAAAAAGGAACAGUUUUAAGUUUGGUGGCUCCAUUCAGGAAGAUCAGA
rnacentral:lncRNA from 1 species